AGGAGAAGCCUGGGGACACCGGCCAGAACUGCUCUGCAUUACGCGUGUGCCUAUGGCCACAGGGAAGUGGUCCAUGUGUUACUCGACUACGAAUGCACCAUCAGUGUCUUCGAUAACGAGCAGUGCACUCCACUUAUUAAGGCCAGCCAGCGGGAGUUUCAUUUGUGUGUCGAUACCCUGCUGACACAUGGAGCUGAUCCGAACGACGC